rnacentral:rRNA from 1 species
UGAGGAAUAUUGGUCAAUGGACGCAAGUCUGAACCAGCCAAGUAGCGUGCAGGAUGACGGCCCUAUGGGUUGUAAACUGCUUUUAUAUGGGGAUAAAGUGGGGAACGUGUUCCCGUUUGCAGUUACCAUAUGAAUAAGGAAAGCCUAAGUCCGUGCCAGCAGCCGCGGUAAUACGGAAGGUACGGGCGUUAUCCGGAUUUAUUGGGUUUAACGGGAGCGUAGGCCGUUUGGUAAGCGUGUUGUGAAAUGUAGGAGCUCAACUUCUAGAUUGCAGCUCGAAAUGUCAGACUUGAGUGCGCACAACGUAGGCGGAAUUCAUGGUGUAGCGGUGAAAUGCGUAGAUAUCAUGAAGAACUCCGAUUGCGAAGGCAGCUUACGGGAGCGCAACUGACGCUGAAGCACGAAGGUGCGGGUAUCGAACAGG